GACGAACGCUGGCGGCGUGCUUAACACAUGCAAGUCGAACGGAAAGGCCCUGCUUUUGUGUGGUGCUCGAGUGGCGAACGGGCGUGUAACACGUGAGUAACCUGCCCUUGACUUUGGGAUAACUUCAGGAAACUGGGGCUAAUACCGGAUAGGAGCUCCUGCUGCAUGGUGGGGGUUGGAAAGUUUCGGCGGUGGGGGAUGGACUCGCGGCUUAUCAGCUUGUUGGUGGGGAAGUGGCUUACCAAGGCUUUGUCGGGUAGCCGGCCUGAGAGGGUGACCGGCAACAUUAGGACUGAGAUACGGCCCAGACUACUACGGGAGGCAGCAGUGGGGAAUAUUGCACAAUGGGCGGAAGCCUGAUGCAGCAACGCCGCGUGCGGGAUGACGGCCUUCGGGUUGUAAACCGCUUUCGCCUGUGACGAAGCGUGAGUGACGGUAAUGGGUAAAGAAGCACCGGCUAACUACGUG
rnacentral:rRNA from 1 species